UAGGGAAUCUUCGGCAAUGGACGAAAGUCUGACCGAGCAACGCCGCGUGAGUGAAGAAGGUUUUCGGAUCGUAAAACUCUGUUGGUAGAGAAGGACGUUGGUGAGAGUGGAAAGCUCAUCAAGUGACGGUAACUACCCAGAAAGGGACGGCUAACUACGUGCCAA
rnacentral:rRNA from 1 species